rnacentral:rRNA from 1 species
GACGAACGCUGGCGGCGUGCUUAACACAUGCAAGUCGAGCGGUAAGGCCCUUUCGGGGGUACACGAGCGGCGAACGGGUGAGUAACACGUGGGUGACCUGCCCUCAGCUCUGGGAUAAGCCUGGGAAACCGGGUCUAAUACCGGAUAUGACUCCAUGACGCAUGUUGUGGGGUGGAAAGCCUUGUGCGGCUGAGGAUGGGCCCGCGGCCUAUCAGCUUGUUGGUGGGGUGAUGGCCUACCAAGGCGACGACGGGUAGCCGGCCUGAGAGAGCGACCGGCCACACUGGGACUGAGACACGGCCCAGACUCCUACGGGAGGGCAGCAGUGGGGAAUCUUGCGCAAUGGGCGAAAGCCUGACGCAGCGACGCCGCGUGAGGGAUGACGGCCU